rnacentral:rRNA from 1 species
CCUACGGGAGGCAGCAGUAAGGAAUCUUCCGCAAUGGGCGAAAGCCUGACGGAGCAACGCCGCGUGGGCGAUGAAGGCCUUCGGGUCGUAAACCUCUUUUGCCGGGGAAGAAGAUCUGACGGUACCCGGCGAAUAAGCCACGGCUAACUACGUGCCAGCAGCCGCGGUAAUACGUAGGUGGCGAGCGUUGUCCGGAUUUACUGGGCGUAAAGGGCUUGUAGGCGGUCCGUUAAGUCCGGUGUGAAAUCUCCGGGCCCAACCGGGAGGGGUCAUCGGAUACUGGCGGACUAGAGGUAGGCAGAGGAAAGCGGAAUUCCCGGUGUAGGGGUGAAAUGCGUAGAUAUCGGGAGGAACACCAGUGGCGAGGGCGGCUUUCGGGACCUAUCCUGACGCUGAGGAGCGAAAGCGUGGGGAGCAAACCGGAUUAGAUACCCUUGUAGU